GACGAACGUUGGCGGCGUGCUUAAUACAUGCAAGUCAACUGAAGCAGUGGUAGCAAUCUCGCUGUGGAGGUGGCGCACGGGUGAGUAACACGUAGGUAAUCUGCCUUCAGGUCUGGCAUAACUCCGGGAAACCGGGGCUAAUAGCAGAUGAUGCAGCGGCUCGACAUCGAGACAGUUGUUAAAGCUAUGGCGCCUGAAGAUGAGCCUGCGUCUGAUUAGCUAGUUGGCGGGGUAACGGCCCACCAAGGCAACGAUCAGUAGCUGGUCUGAGAGGAUGAUCAGCCACACUGGAAGUGAGACACGGUCCAGACUCCUACGGGAGGCAGCAGUAAGGAAUAUUGCUCAAUGGGAGAAAUCCUGAAGCAGCAACGCCGCGUGAGGGACGAAGGGCUUUUGCUUGCAAACCUCUGUAGUGAGAGAAAAAAAUCCCAAUCUUUGGGACAUGAUGGUAUCUCAAAAGUAAGCCCCGGCUAACUACGUG
rnacentral:rRNA from 1 species